GGAGCGGUUCGGAGGGUCGCCGGUGUGGUGGCCCGAGCGUUCGCGCUCGGUGUUCAACGCACGGGAGGAAAGUCCGAGCUCCAUAGGGCAGGGUGCCAGGUAACUCCUGGUGGGGGCGACCCCGAGGAAAGUGCCACAGAGAGUAGACCGCCGUGCUGCCUUCGGGCCGCGCGGUAAGGGUGAAAGGGUGUGGUAAGAGCGCACCGGGCCGGCGGUGACGUCGGUCGCAUGGCAAACCCCACUCGGAGCAAGAUCGAAUAGGGAAGCGUUCGAGGGCGGCCCGCCCGAGCUUCCGGGUUGUAUCGCUCGAGACCGUCGGUGACGGCGGUCCUAGAUGAAUGAUCCUCACCACGCCGUCGGUAACGAAGGCGCGGAACAGAACUCGGCUUAUGAGCCCUCCGACC
rnacentral:RNase_P_RNA from 1 species